rnacentral:rRNA from 1 species
GACGAACGCUGGCGGCGUGCUUAACACAUGCAAGUCGAACGGAAAGGCCCUGCUUUUGUGGGGUGCUCGAGUGGCGAACGGGUGAGUAACACGUGAGUAACCUGCCCUUGACUUCGGGAUAACUUCAGGAAACUGGGGCUAAUACCGGAUAGGAGCUCCUGCUGCAUGGUGGGGGUUGGAAAGAUUCGGCGGUUGGGGAUGGACUCGCGGCUUAUCAGCUUGUUGGUGGGGUAGUGGCUUACCAAGGCUUUGACGGGUAGCCGGCCUGAGAGGGUGACCGGCCACAUUGGGACUGAGAUACGGCCCAGACUCCUACGGGAGGCAGCAGUGGGGAAUAUUGCACAAUGGGCGGAAGCCUGAUGCAGCAACGCCGCGUGCGGGAUGACGGCCUUCGGGUUGUAAACCGCUUUCGCCUGUGACGAAGCGUGAGUGACGGUAAUGGGUAAAGAAGCACCGGCUAACUACGUG